GAGGGUGUAGCUCAGUGGUAGAGUGCUUGCUUAGCAUGCAUGAGGUCCUGGGUUCAAUCCCCAGUCCCUCCA
rnacentral:tRNA from 1 species